GGGCAAGUCUGGUGCCAGCAGCCGCGGUAAUUCCAGCUCCAAUAGCGUAUAUUAAAGUUGUUGCAGUUAAAAAGCUCGUAGUUGAAUUUCGGGAUCAAUAUUUCGGUCAUGCCGUUGGUAUGCACUGUUAUCAUUGAUUUCUCACCUUCUAAAGAACCGUGAUGCCAUUAAUUUGGUGUUACGGGGAAUUAGGACUGUUACCUUGAAAAAAUUAGAGUGUUUAAAGCAGGCUCACGCUUGAAUACAUUAGCAUGGAAUAAUGAAAUAGGACAUCCGAUUCUAUUUUGUUGGUUUCUAGGAUCGAUGUAAUGAUUAAUAGGGAUAGUUGGGGGCAUUAGUAUUCAAUUGUCAGAGGUGAAAUUCUUGGAUUUAUUGAAGACUAACUACUGCGAAAGCAUUUGCCAAGGAUGUUUUCAUUAAUCAAGAACGAAAGUUAGGGGAUCGAAGACGAUCAGAUACCGUCGUAGUCUUAACCAUAAACUAUGCCGACUAGGGAUCGGAUGAUGUUAAUUUUUUAAUGACUCAUUCGGCGCCUUACGGGAAAC
rnacentral:rRNA from 1 species